rnacentral:rRNA from 1 species
UGCAGAAUCCCGUGAAUCAUCGAGUCUUUGAACGCAAGUUGCGCCCGAAGCCUCGGCCAAGGGCACGUCUGCCUGGGCGUC